GCAGACACAUUCCAGCCAAUCAGCAGCAGACCCUCCCUCCCAGACCCUCCACCUCCUGGACAGCUCACUAAGAAUGCAGCUUCACAAUGGAUGUGAAGCUGCAUUCUUAGUGAGCUGUCCAGGAGGUGGGAGGGUCUGGGAGGGAGGGUCUGCUGCUGAUUGGCUGGAAUGUGUCUG